AGGAGCAUGUGGUUUAAUUCGAUGAUACGCGAGGAACCUUACCUGGGCUCGAACGUAAGAUGACUGUAGGUGAAAGCUUACAUCUCUUCGGAGCAUUUUACGAGGUGCUGCACGGUUGUCGUCAGCUCGUGCCGUGAGGUGUCGGGUUAAGUCCCAUAACGAGCGCAACCCCUACCUUUAGUUGCCAUCAGGUUAAGCUGGGGACUCUAAAGGAACUGCCUACGCAAGUAGUGAGGAAGGCGGGGAUGACGUCAAAUCAGCACGGCCCUUACGUCCAGGGCUACACACGUGCUACAAUGGCCGAUACAGAGGGCAGCUACCUGGUGACAGGAUGCAAAUCUCCAAAGUCGGUCUCAGUUCGGAUCGGAGUCUGCAACCCGACUCCGUGAAGUUGGAUUCGCUAGUAAUCGCGCAUCAGCCAUGGCGCGGUGAAUACGUUCCCGGGCCUU
rnacentral:rRNA from 1 species